GACAACAAAUCCAGAUAGAGUGGCACCGUUCAAACAGGAGGCCAGUGCACAGGUUGCCGGUUUUUUGAAAAGAUUCAAAGAUCUAGAGUUUUACACAGGCAAUAGUAUGGAUCCAGAUGGAAUGGUAGUUUUAAAGGAAUACAUUGACAAAGAUGGUGAAGAGGUACCCGUAUUUUACUUCUUUAAAGAUGGUUUGUCUGAGGAGAAGCUUUGAAAUGGAAGAAACUGUCCCAGGAAAGAUAAAAUAACAACUUUGAGUAAACAAAAUUAAAAGGACAGGGCUGCUUGGCAGUUAUUCCUGUUUGGCCACUUUUCAAAUUCUAUUGAGGAAAUGGACUUAUUUUUGUCUAAAAGCACUUUCGAUACUAGGCAUUACAUAUAUAAUAUUUAUAUGUGUGUGUAUGAAUGUAAAAAGAACAAAAAAAAAAGUGAAUUCUAAGAAUGCAUUGCUGCAUCCAUUGUAAAAUUUGCCAUUUCCCUUUUCUGUGCUAGUAUACAUAUUAUGCCAUGUGUAAACCUGUUAUCUGAACAAGAUGAAACUGAAUUUUUAUAUGCACUUACAAAGGGUGAGAUCGAAAUCUUUAUUUCUUUUUUUCUUUGACAAGCUCUUGGAAUGGUGAAUAGACCAUGUUUGAAGGACCCCAGUCAUAAAUUAUUGAAUGUCUUUUACUUGUACAGGAUGACGAAAAAAAAAUAUAUACACAAAUUUAAUAAUGAUAAUAACAAUAAAAAAUGGAUUCAAAGAAA